rnacentral:rRNA from 1 species
UACGAAGGGGGCUAGCGUUGCUCGGAAUCACUGGGCGUAAAGCGCACGUAGGCGGAUCUUUAAGUCAGGGGUGAAAUCCUGGAGCUCAACUCCAGAACUGCCUUUGAUACUGAGGAUCUUGAGUCCGGGAGAGGUGAGUGGAACUCCGAGUGUAGAGGUGAAAUUCGUAGAUAUUCGGAAGAACACCAGUGGCGAAGGCGGCUUCCUGGACUGACACUGACGCUGAGGCGCGAAAGCUAGGGGAGCAAACGGG